CCGGGCGGGUCCCCGCUUGUAAUUCGUACCGAGAAGCGUUAAUGCCCAUGACACAGCGACAAGCUAGAGUCCUGUCCUAGAUGACACUUAAAGGGCAGCCCCUACAGCCACGCAGUGGCUGUGCUCCUCGAAGCAGAGAGUGCACGCACAAAUGGAGGAGGAGCAGAGCGAGAAGAAGAGAGAGAAUCCCAAGCAGGCUCCAUGCUGUCAGUGCCAAGUCCAACGGAGGGCUCAGUCCUAUGAACCAUGAGAUCAUGACCUGAGCCAGAAAUCAAGAGUUGGACACCCAACCGACUGAGCCACCCAGAUGCCCCACAAUUUGUUUAAUUUUCCCUUUAUUUCUUUCAUUUGUCUAACUGCACUACUAUGGUUUUCUUUAUGUUAUUCAAUAUAGUAAUGAUAGUGAGCAUAGUUGUCUCAAUCCUGAUUUUAAUAUGAAUUAACCUGACAUUUCACUAUCAGGUGUGGUAAAUUUCUGUAAGCUUAUGGUAGAUUCUUUUUAUCAGGAAAGAAGUUUUCUUCUAUUCCUAAGUUGCUAUGAAUUGUGAUAGUAAACGUUGGAUUUCCCUAAUGCUUUUUUCUCCAUUUAAAGAGAUGAUCAGAUAACUUUUUUCCUUCAAUAUAUUAACAUGCUAAACUCUAUUAGUAAAUUUCCCAAUGCUAAAGUGUUCUUGCAUUCUUGUCUGGGAUUAAUUCAAUUAGAUCACGACAUAUAAAUUUUUAAAUACAUUGCUUAUUCAGUUUCCUGAUACUUCCACAGUGAUUUUUGCAUCUAUGAUUCAUGAAAGGCCAGAUUUCCAUUCUUAUUCUGUCCUUCACUGGUUUUCAUAUGCAAUUUUUCCUAUAUUCUGCUUUCUGUAUGUCUUGAUUUUUAUAUUUCUCUUUUUUUCACCAUUCUGAAUUUCUUUUGGAUUACUGUAGUUUUUAAAAAACUUCUAUUGUUUUUCCCUCCCCACUGACUUGGAAAUUCUAAAUUCUAUUUCUCUUUUUUUUAUUAUAAUAAAUGUUACAUAUAGCUAGCUCUGAUUAACUUUUACUAUAUUGUCCACUUAUUUUGCUAUAUCAUCUUUUCUUGCUCCAAGUUAGACGUUAUCGUUUUAUGCAAUUUUUUUUAAGAAAGAUUUAUCCUCUCCUUUAUUUUUAUCAGUUUCUUCAUCAUGACUCCUUCCCUUAUCUGGAACCAUUUUUGUGAGACUGUUUUCCUUUUUUUGAAAUAUACUUUGGAAUUUCCUUUAUUGAGGGUUUAUUGGUUGUUGUUCUAAAAUGCUUUUAUUUUGUUCACAUUCCUGAAUAGUAGUUUAUCUAUGUAUAUAAUUACAGGUUGAAAUUAAUCUGUGGCAGUACUUUGAAAAUUUUCUGGUUUCCAUUGUUGAAAUUGAGAAGUCCGCGGUGAAUCUAAUUGUUAUUUCUUUGUAGGUAAUCUUUUUCUUCUCACUGUUUCCAAUAUCAUCUCUUUGUUUUUGCUUUUCUUUAUUUUUACUAUGAUAUACUGUGGAAGAAUAUUCCUUUAUUUAUUCUGAUUAUGAGGUUUGUCUUUUAUUAAUUAUAAAAUUUUGUUAACUAUUAUCUCUUCAAAUAUUUCCUGUUCCUUUUUCUAUUUGCUUCUUUCUUCUAGAACACCAUAUAAAUCCAUAUAUAUAAGUGUGUAUAUGUAUAUAUGUAUGUGUAUAAUAUACGUAACACAUGUACAUGUGUAUAUAUUCUUACAUACAUAUAUUUUUUUCAUUUGAUUCUUCAUGUGCCUUAAUCUCUCUCAUAUUCAUUCUUUUGUGUGAAAUUUUAGUGUAAAAUCUUUUAGAAAAUUAAUUUGAAUCUGUCUUCCAGUUCCCCAAUUUUUCUUAUAAAUUACAUCUAAUCUGUUAUUCAAACCACAUUGAAUGCUUAAAUUCAAUGAUUACAUGUUUUCUACAACUUCCGUUGGUUUACUUUUCAAAUCUGCCAAUAUUUGAAGCAAAAUAUCUUGUUAAUUGCUUAGUUUUUAUUUCUUUCUAUUUCUUCAAGCAUUUAAACAUUCUAAUUUUGUGAGUUUUAUAAUUCUGAGAUGUAAGUUCCCAUGUUUGGCCUGGUUUGAUAUGCUUGUUUUUUAGGCUUCAGAGAGCUUAAAGUUAAGCCCUUUAGGGAGAAUACUCUGCCAGGUACCCGGAGCUCUGCCAGUGGGGACAGCUGUAAUUUAUUUCUCAGCUUGGCACUUCCUAUGCCACAUAAGUGGCUUAACUUAAAUUCCUAAGACUACUCAAAUCAUGCCUGUGUUUACAAAUUCUCAAGGGAGAAUUUUUCCUGACUCAUAGCACAGUUAAGAUAGAUACAGUUUCUGACUGUACAAAUUUGGCCUCAUUUAUCAUUUUACAGAAAGCAUUGCCCUCCAAAGACCACAGUUUUGUGUGAGAGAGGGAGGGCAGGACUCCAAUUUAAUUUUCUACCUGAAACGAUUCCAGGUGUUAUUUACUUUUUGUGUCCUGUCCUUAAAACCCAAACCUCUUGAUAACCCAGACCACCAAAUACUUUAGGGGCUGUUUCAACUCACCAUUGUAAAGCACAAACAACAGGCCUGCAGAUAGCAAACAUUAAAUGUAAAUACACAUUAAAUAAAUAAUAGAAUAUGUCACAUAGGAAAUGACUAGUGGGACCAGGAAUGUUUAACUUGGAGAAGAUUGACAUUUUGAUAGGGUUGAGGAUGAAUAGGCAGAUCAUCUGGUAGCUCUCUCUACUCAUUUCAAAUAUUUGAAUGGCAGAGAAGUUCAAAUAGAUUUGCUCUGUGUGACCUAAAUGAAUAGUAUUAAUGUUGAUCCAUCAAUAAAUAUAGAAGCCAUUGUUGUCUGGCAGUGGAAAAUUUAAAGAACUGCAAUACUAUCAUUUGAUUUGUUUUGUUUUUUACAAACCGUAAUGGUCACAUAUGUAAAAUACUCAUUUUUCAAAAAUUUAACAUUAAAUCAUAACCUUUAAAAAUAAUAUUUAAAAGUUUUCAAAACAUGAUUGUUGGCCUCACAAUAUUUUAUAAUGUGAAAAUGGCAUGAUUUAUUUAAUCAUUCUCUUGUAGAGUGAGCUUUUGCUCUUAAGAGUAAAAUUAAAAUCUUAAGAGUAAAAAACAUCCAUACUAUCUUUUUAAAAGAUCUCUAAUAAGUUCCUUAGAUUGCUAAAAGUGUCCAAAGGUCAUGAAUAAGUUUUAAAGGCAUAUGAUAUUUAUUACUUAAACUACAAAUGUUGCCCAUAAAAUAUACACUAUAUGUGUGUUAAAUGUGUUAAAUAUGAUAAAUAGUUGCCAAAUUGAUUAAUAUACAGGUAUUAUUGUUAUCAUAACUUAUCAUAUCCUCCUUCUGCUACUUCUAUUGAACUGUCCCCUGAUUUCUUUUGCCUAAAGGAGUCUACUAAUGGUUCCAUAUGGGAUAUGUUUGAAACCUGUGUGGUUUUAGAUACCACCUAUAAUUAACUUUUGCAGCAGUAGACAUUGAAUCUAAAAGUCAAUCCAUUUUAGAUUCUUUCUUAUAUGACGUUUUCUCUUCCUACACAGCAUGAAGUCCUUGAUAUCUAAGAAAUGAUGCUUAUUAAAGGCCAGAGACUAUAAUCUUGAGAA